rnacentral:rRNA from 1 species
UACAGAGGGGGCAAGCGUUGUUCGGAAUUACUGGGCGUAAAGGGCGCGUAGGCGGCCUGUUAAGUCGAGCGUGAAAUCCCCGGGCUCAACCCGGGAACUGCGUCCGAUACUGGCAGGCUUGAAUCCGGGAGAGGGAUGCGGAAUUCCAGGUGUAGCGGUGAAAUGCGUAGAUAUCUGGAGGAACACCGGUGGCGAAGGCGGCAUCCUGGACCGGCAUUGACGCUGAGGCGCGAAAGCCAGGGGAGCAAACGGG